rnacentral:rRNA from 1 species
CGGGGCUUAAAGUCUUGUAAUUGGAAUGAUGGGAAUUUAAACCUCUUCCAGAGUAUCAAUUGGAGGGCAAGUCUGGUGCCAGCAGCCGCGGUAAUUCCAGCUCCAAUAGCGUAUAUUAAAAUUGUUGCAGUUAAAAAGCUCGUAGUUGAAUUUCUGCUGCAUUGUUUGUGUCCCUCUGGGGUCUGUGCAUGUGGCUUUUUUCGGACGGAGUUUCUUUGUCUGAAUGUUUACUUUGAGAAAAUUAGAGUGCUCAAAGCAGGCUUUCGCCUUGAAUAGUUUAGCAUGGAAUAAUAAAGUAGGACUUUGGUUCUAUUUUGUUGGUUUUAGGUACCAAAGUAAUGGUUAAUAGGAACAGUUGGGGGCAUUCGUAUUUAACUGUCAGAGGUGAAAUUCUUAGAUUUGUUAAAGACGAACUACUGCGAAAGCAUUUGCCAAGGAUGUUUUCAUUAAUCAAGAAC